rnacentral:rRNA from 1 species
UCCGUAGGCGGGCAAUUAAGUCAGAGGUGAAAUCCCACAGCUCAACUGUGGAACUGCCUUUGAUACUGGUUGUCUUGAGUUAUGGUGAAGUAGAUAGAAUAUGUAGUGUAGCGGUGAAAUGCAUAGAUAUUACAUAGAAUACCGAUUGCGAAGGCAGUCUACUAACUGUAUACUGACGCUAAUGGACGAAAGCGUGGGGAGCGAACAGGAUUAGAUACCCUGGUAGUCC